CUUCACGUCCCCGAGUUGCAGACUCCGAUCCGAACUGAGAUCGGUUUUAUGAGAUUAGCAUCCUGUCCCCAGGUAGCAACCCUCUGUACCGACCAUUGUAACACGUGUGUCGCCCCGGACGUAAGGGCCGUGCUGAUUUGACGUCAUCCCCACCUUCCUCUACCUUACAGUAGCAGUCUUGUUAGAGUUCCCAGCAUCACCUGAUGGCAACUAACAACAAGGGUUGCGCUCGUUAUGGCACUUAAGCCGACACCUCACGGCACGAGCUGACGACAACCAUGCAGCACCUAGUUUCGUGUCCCGAAGGAAAGACCUGUUUCCAAGUCCGUCACUAACUUUCAAGCCCGGGUAAGGUUCCUCGCGUAUCAUCGAAUUAAACCACAUGUUCCUCCGCUUGUGCGGGCCCCCGUCAAUUCCUUUGAGUUUCACCGUUGCCGGCGUACUCCCCAGGUGGAAUACUUAACACUUUCGCUUUACCGCUGACAUUAUAUCGCCAACAGCUAGUAUUCAUCGUUUACUGCGUGGACUACCAGGGUAUCUAAUCCUGUUUGAUACCCACGCUUUCGUGCCUCAGCGUCAGUUGCAUGCUGGUAAGCUGCCUUCGCAAUC
rnacentral:rRNA from 1 species